rnacentral:tRNA from 2 species
GCCGAAGUGGUGGAAUUGGUAGACACGCUAUCUUGAGGGGGUAGUGGACACCUGUCCGUAGGAGUUCGAGUCUCCUCUUCGGCACCA